GACAUGUCUUGCAGGACAGACAUCAACCUGUGCCUCGUGUCAACUAGAGCCCCAGAGAAGUGUCGUCAAUGGUUUUCAAAGCAUGUGCCACCAAGAAUACCUCUCACAUGGCGAUUCCAAAGUGAACAAGACGUGUGUGAAGGAAAUCUGGCAGAGACAUUGAGAAAGAACUUCAGAGUAUAAAGGCAUGGAACUCUCAGUGGAGGGAGGUUCCUGGCACUGUGACACCAAACCAUAAGAAGCUUGGGCAAGGAGUAGCUGAAGCUUUGAGAUGUCACUUAAAACCCAUUAAUUCUCCACCUCUAUAACUGAGGUAUUAGUCACCAGAACAACAGAGUGCCUACCAGCCAAAGGUCUCCAGGGAGAAAUGAAUUAUGGUGUUUCUGAUGAAGUCGGCCAUUGUCAUAGGAUCUCCCUCCUCAGUUCAAAAUGCUAAUCCUACAGUAAAAGGUCAGAU
rnacentral:lncRNA from 1 species